GUGCCAGCAGCCGCGGUAAUACGGAGGAUGCGAGCGUUAUCCGGAUUCAUUGGGUUUAAAGGGUGCGUAGGCUGUGCGUUAAGUCAGGGGUGAAAUACCGGCGCUCAACGUCGGGGCUGCCCUUGAUACUGGCGGUGCUGGAGUGCGGAUGCCGCCGGAGGAAUGAGUGGUGUAGCGGUGAAAUGCUUAGAUAUCACUCAGAACACCGAUUGCGAAAGGCAUCUGGCGAAUCCGCCACUGACGCUGAGGCACGAAAGCGUGGGGAUAGAACAGGAUUAGAUACCCUGGUAUACCACGCCGUAAACGAUGAUGGCUAACCGCCGGCGACACAUUGUCGGUGGCCAAGCGAAAGCGAUAAGCCAUCCACCUGGGGAGUACGACCGCAAGGUUGAAACUCAAAGGAAUUGACGGGGGCCCGCACAAGCGGAGGAACAUGUGGUUUAAUUCGAUGAUACGCGAGGAACCUUACCCGGGCUCGAACGGCAAAGGAAGGAACAGGAGACUGUGACGCCCUUCGGGGCCUUUGUCGAGGUGCUGCAUGGUUGUCGUCAGCUCGUGCCGUGAGGUGUCGGCUCAAGUGCCAUAACGAGCGCAACCCUUGCCGUCAGUUGCCAUCAAGUAGUGUUGGGGACUCUGGCGGGACUGCCACCGCAAGGUGUGAGGAGGGGGGGGAUGACGUCAAAUCAGCACGGCCCUUACGUCCGGGGCGACACACGUGUUACAAUGGCGGCCACAGAGGGAGGCUACCCGCGAGGGGAUGCGGAUCUCGAAAAGCCGUCCCAGUUCGGAUCGCAGUCUGCAACCCGACUGCGUGAAGUUGGAUUCGCUAGUAAUCGCGCAUCAGCCAUGGCGCGGUGAAUACGUUCCCGGGCCUUGUACACACCGCCCGU
rnacentral:rRNA from 1 species